GUGAAUUUUCAGCUGCACAGGGGAUAUGUGCCUCUAACUCCCACAUUGGUCAAGGGUCAACUAUAAAAGAGUUUUAAAGAAUCUUAAAGUCUUUGUCCCAUAGCACCCCAAUCCAUAGCCCAAAGCAGAAAAGGACCUAUCUCAAAGAGACUUGUGGAUAUAGCUUUUGUCUAAUAGAAUAAAUUACAAUUACAUAUGUACAAAGCCCACAGAAUUGUCAAGAGGCUUGUUCUCAUGAAAGCAUGGCCAGCUUGAAAUAAGAAGGACCAAGAAAUUUUGAAAUAAAAAGUCUCUAAGCCACCAUUUUAAGCUGGGUGUCUAGGGAAACAGAUAACGUGUCUUUUGAGCUCACAGGUCUCCAGAUUGAGAGGAGUGAUGAACAAGGAGCCUCAUUUGCAACUGGACCUGAUGGAGAUCACAAGAGACUGGCCUUCAAGCUUCAUACCAUAAUUGGAAGACACUAUGGUGGUGUCUUGGUGUGAAAUAAAUAUAUUUUGUGUGCUGCAAGUAAGAAUUGUGGCCAGAAGGAGGAACACGGUACAUUGUCUGCGCCCAUGGCCAGGAACAAUUGCUCCCAUCCCUGUACCCACAUACCAGUUCUCUAUCAAAAGGUGGAGUCUAUUCUUCUCCCUCUCCUUGAAUCAAUCUGCACUAGCACUGGCUUCUUUUAACCAAUGGAUAUUGUGGAAGUGAUGAUAUGUGACUUCUGGGCAUGGACCUUAAGAAGACUUGCAGCUUCUAUUUUUGCAUUCUUGGAAUCCAGCUGCCAUGUAAAUAAGCCUGGGCUGGGAUACUGGAUGACAGGAGACCAUAUGGAGAGAGCUUGAGCCAGCCCCCAGCUGUUUCAGCCACCCCUGUCAAAGCACCAAAUGUGCAAACGAAGUCAUCUUGGAUAUUCCAACUAAGCUUCCAGCCCCCACCCUACUGCCUACAUUUUUGGACCCCAUAGGAGGAAAGGGGGCAAGAACUGUCAGAAGGAAGAAGGCCUAUGAAAAUCAGCGUUUUCCAAAGUGCUCAAGUACUUUACUUCGAUCCCAAAUCAGUUCUCUUGAGGAGGUGCUUAUUUCUGUGGCCUGGAAACAAGGAGACAGAAGCAUGAGCAUCUUCUGCAACACAAAGGUAACCGAGCU